ensembl:lncRNA
UUCAGAACUCAGGGCAAUUUCACCACAAUAAAAAUAUAUAUUAAAGAAAAAACUUGGGGCAGACAUCACCUCCUUUGGAAUGCCCUUCCUUCCUCCCUUCCUCCCUCUCUCCUUGGUGUGGAUGAAAUAUCCCUCAUCAGGAACACCUGAACUCCCCACAAAUCACGCCUAAUGGAUUGUCCGUGAUGCUAAAAGCCAGCUACUUCCUUUUGUCCUCACAGAGUGGUAACCAAAUCAAUAGACGUGUCUCAAUGCCUUUGCUUUUCCUGAUUCUAACCCCUGCCUUAUGCCCAGUUGCAUUUCUGCCAUUUGGUUCUCAAAGACACCACCAAAUCCUUACCAUUCUUAUAAUAAACUUCCUUUUCUGCCUAUGCCAGCUCAGGCUGGUUUGUUACUCAAAUCUGGGAGUCGUGAUUCACCCGUGAUCCCUCGCUCACGGGCAUCCCGGCAUUACCUACAGGGGCAGAGACAGUUAGAGCUCACCACCAAUCUCUGAGCUCCCCUAGGUUUCCUGGCUUCCACAGAAGUUAGCGUGGGGGUGACCAUGUGACCAGUUCUAGCCAACGGACUAUGAGCGGAAGUGACGUGUGUUACUUCUGGACCAACGCGGUUAAGAGCCAAUGUACCUCCUCCAUCUGUCUUGACCCCACUGUGACAACAACAUGUCCCCUGUGGUGUGGCUAUAAGAAGGAGGAGGGCUUCCCAACCUACGGAGGACUUUGCACCAGCCAAAAGACAAACUUUUUUUCAUGAUAAGCCACCGAGACCUGGGGGGGUUUGUUCCCGCAGCUACCAUUACUUACGUUAUUAUAUCUGUUAAAUGACAGCUGUAUGUGACUGCUCUCUUCCAUUAGAACAUGAUCUGUUUGAGGUCAGUAGCUGAGUUCAUCUUAGAACUCCUGCACCAGCCCCUACAGGACCUGGGACAGGAAGUGUGUUUGUUAAAUGUGUGUUGAAUGAAUUACAAGCAGAUGAAUCAUUCCAUCCAAUGUUUCAACACCUCAAGUGAACACUUACUCGUAACCCGAGGAGUCUGGAAACUUCGAAAGCUGGAAAUUGAGCCUAGAAUCUUCUAUCUCCAAGCCAAGGGCUUUUUGCAUAUCAUUGUGGAUAGAUGACGGGAACUGUGAAUUAACUCCAACGUGUGACAGUUCAGCAGACAGGCAGUCUCCGUGGAGCUUUCUAGAACAAUUAUUCUGGAAAGUCAUUUCUGGGAAAGGGCCCAAGAAUUUACCCACAGCAGAGGAGAAAGACUUCAAACAUUGACUGCUUCUGUUGCCCUGGUCAUGAAACUCUGAAAACAACACAAGUCAGAAGCUUCCUAGGGGACAGAGGAGCAUCUGUCCUUUGAAAAACUUCAACAUUUCUGUUAAACAAUUUUUCUGGAAUUAACAAAGGGGAAAGUGAGCAGAAACAUUCUGAAAAUCCAGCAAUUAGGCUCAAAAAGUCAGUUCAGGGUGAGGAAACAAAUUUUGUGACAGCUUGUGUAAAUGCCUGAAUUAACUGAAACUCGGUAGUAAUAAAGAUAAAAUUUGCUUUGCUGUUGCCAAUGGGAUGAGACUACUGUGUGUCAGGUGCAGAAGUGGCCUUUAUAGGCAGGAUCCUUCCUUAUUCCUUAUAGCAAAGCGGUAACGUACCGAAUGCUGGUCCCAUUUUACAGGUGAAGAAAACGAGGUCAGAGUACUUAGGAAAUUUCCUAAAGAUCACAAAGGUAAUAAGUGGCGAACAUAGGAUUCAAACCGAGGCUUUUUGAAUUCCAAAGCCCACGCUCUAGGUUUUCAGAUGUGGCCAGUUUGAUUCUCUUAUUUGAAAGUCUCAGAAAUCCACUGUAAACUGGUUUAGACAAAGGGACUUUAUUGGUUCACAGAAUACAAAAAGGAUUGAAUGACAAUCCACCGGAAGGACAGGGAUAGCGCUGGGCUUCCGGGGCAACCGCAUCCAGAUGCCCGAAGGCUGCCGGCAGUCCCUCCCCCUCCAUUUCUCUGCUCCUCUCAGGGUCACCUUCAUUGUCUCUCUUACAUGGUGUUCUUCCCACACACGGCAGAAAACACGGCUGUCAACACAUCCCAAACCUCACAUCCGUCAGCUCCUACCCAGAGAGGAUCUGACUGACUUCAGCGCCAGUUUGAAAAAUCCGAGAGCAGAAAUCGGAUCGGACAGCUUGCGUCAAUACCUCCUCUGUACCCAUCCACUCUGGCCAUGGAGAUGGGUCAUCUAAGAACAAGGCAGCUUCUUGUUCGGAGGAAGAUAAAGUGGCUGAAAAAACCAAAAUGGUCCAAGGAAAUAUAAAAGCUUAGCUGGAAGCAGAGGAAAUACUCAGGGGGAUGUUCCUGUGAUCUGUAGACAUCUGAAGGACGGUCACGAGGAAGAGGAGGUGCUCUGAGUCACUAUGGGACUGAUGGGCACAAGUUUCCAGGAGACAGACGUCAGGUUCAGGUUCGGCAUUCGCUAAAUUUGUUACAACUGAUGAGCCUACACUGACACAUCGUUAUCACCCAACGUCCAUGGUUUACAUUAGGGUUCACUCCUGGUGCUGUACAUUCUGUGGGUUUGGACAAAUGUAUAAUGACACGUAUUCAUUAUUACAAUAUCACACAGAGUAUUUUCACUGCCCUAAAAAAUCCUCUGUGUUCUGCCUAUUCAUCCCUCCCCCUUACAUAUGUUUUUACAGCGUUUAUAUCUCAAUGGAUAUGCAAUUUCAAUAACACCAUUGUAUCGUGAGCAUUUCCCCCGUAUCAUUAAAAAAUCUUUCAUGGGGCCAGCCUGGUGGCACAGCAGUUAGGUUUGCACAUUUUGCUUUGGCAGCCCAGGGUUCGCCAGUUCGGAUCCCGGGCGCAGACAUGGCACUGCUUGUCAAGCCAUGCUGUGGCAGGCGUCCCACAUAUAAAGUAGAGGAAGAUGGGCAUGGAUGUUAGCCCAGGGCCAGUCUUCCUCAGCAAAAAGAGGAGGAUUGGUGACAGAUGUUAGCUCAGGGCUUAUCUUCCUCCAAAAAAAAAAAAAAAAAAGUCUUUCAUAAACACCAUAUUUCCAAGUUAAAGCCCAUAAUGUAACAUGAUUAUUUUUCCACUUCCCUAUUUAGGUUAUUUAUAUUUUUUUGCUACCAUAAAUAUCACCUCUAUGUUUGAUUAUCAUAAUUCAUAAGUCUUAGUCCAAAUUUCUAAUUAUCUCCUUAGGUCCUUCAAAAUUUUGAUGCUCAAAUAAUGCCCAGUCUAUUGUAUACACUAGAGGGAGUUUGCGAGUUCUUGGAAACAAUAGUUUUCUGUGCCCUGGUGAAGAAUGAAAAUAACCUGCCAAGACUGGCAGAAAUAUUAAAGGCAUUUGGGAAAGCUAUGCCUGAUCUCAUAAUGAAACAAUGUGGGCAUUUUCUUCCCAGGCCCGUCCCAUCGUGGGUCAGGAGCAGAGCUCAGCCGGCUAUUUGGGCUGACCACAAGCAUGGUCGUGAAUCUUUAGAUCUGUGGAUGACCGAAGGGUGAGCACAAAGGCCACGCUCAGUCUAUGAAGAAAGGCCAUGUGAGAGGGCUCUGAGAGCCCCACCCUCGCCUCGGGGAACCGCAGUCCCCAGCUGAGUUCCCAGAGCCGCAGGCCAGACCUUGUUGUGGAACUUGUUGUACAAGUUCUCUGAGGUUGUAGUGGCUGCGCUUGAUAGGCUGCGGUGGGUAACUGUCCUUAACCAAGGCUCCGGUCACGAGCAAAUGAGUGGGUGGCAAGCCAUGUGACCAGGGCUCCUGGAAUGACUCUGAGGAGAUGGUUCUCAUAGCAGAAGAUUCUGGCACAGAGGGAGCAUGCCAGAGCCCAGGCAGCCAAUGGUGGCUGGGCAAAUACAGCUGAGAAGAGGGGGAAGAGUGACACGAGAAUGUGGAGUACUGCUGUGUCAACCCUACAUCCCCCAAGGAUUAAGAAGGGACCACUGUUCCCCUUGGACCAAGGACUCUGCCUCUUCUUCUUGCUGGUUCCAUCUUCCCAGAGAUUGGCCCCUCCUAGCCCGCCACACUUGACUUGCUCAUUUGUGCAGGAGAUAAAUUAAGACCCUCUUUCCUUAAAACUAUAACCACAGGCAGAAUUUUGACUCUAUGCCAGAGUACUCACAUGACCUAGGAAGGCAGUGGAACUUUCCUGGUUGGCAAAAAUGGAAAUCUUUGGGAAA